GACGAACGCUGGCGGCGUGCUUAACACAUGCAAGUCGAACGAAGAGCGAUGGAAGCUUGCUUCUAUCAAUCUUAGUGGCGAACGGGUGAGUAACGCGUAAUCAACCUGCCCUUCAGAGGGGGACAACAGUUGGAAACGACUGCUAAUACCGCAUACGAUCUAAUCUCGGCAUCGAGGAAAGAUGAAAGGUGGCCUCUAUUUAUAAGCUAUCACUGAAGGAGGGGAUUGAGGCUGUUUGGUUAGUUGGAGGGGUAACGGACCAACAAGGCGAUGGUCAGUAGCCGGCAGGGUAGGAUGGACGGCCACAUUGGGAGGGUGACAGGGCCCAGUGGCCUAGGGGAAGGAGCAGGGGGGAAACUUGCGCAAGCGACGAAAGUCUUACGGAGCAGCGCCGCGGGAGGGAGGACGGCCGUCGGGUUGGAAAGCUCUGUUAAUCGGGACGAAAGGCCUUCUUGCGAACAGGUAGAGGGAUUGACGGUACCGGAAUAGAAAGCCACGGCUAACUACGUG
rnacentral:rRNA from 1 species